rnacentral:rRNA from 1 species
GCGGGGGACAACAUCCGGAAACGGGUGCUAAUACCGCAUAGUAAUUUGUCAGGCAUCUGACAAAUUGGAAAGACGGCUUUUGCUGUCACUCAUAGAUGGUCUUGCGGUGCAUUAGCUAGUUGGUGGGAUAAAAGCUUACCAAGGCCAUGAUGCAUAGCCGACCUGAGAGGGUAAUCGGCCACACUGGGACUGAGACACGGCCCAGACUCCUACGGGAGGCAGCAGUAGGGAAUCUUCCGCAAUGGGCGCAAGCCUGACGGAGCAAUGCCGCGUAAUGCGUAGAUAUAUGGAAGAACACCAGUGGCGAAGGCGACUUUCUGGUCUGUAACUGACACUGAGGCUCGAAAGCGUGGGUAGCAAACAGGAUUAGAUACCCUGGUAGUCCACGCCGUAAACGAUGAGUGCUAGGUGUUGGAGG